rnacentral:rRNA from 1 species
AGCGAACGCUGGCGGCAGGCCUAACACAUGCAAGUCGAACGAACCUUUCGGGGUUAGUGGCGGACGGGUGAGUAACACGUGGGAACGUGCCUUUAGGUUCGGAAUAACUCAGGGAAACUUGUGCUAAUACCGAAUGUGCCCUUCGGGGGAAAGAUUUAUCGCCUUUAGAGCGGCCCGCGUCUGAUUUGCUAGUUGGUUGAGGUAAUGGCUCACCAAGGCGACGAUCAGUAGCUGGUCUGAGAGGAUGAUCAGCCACAUUGGGACUGAGACACGGCCCAAACUCCUACGGGAGGCAGCAGUGGGGAAUCUUGCGCAAUGGGCGAAAGCCUGACGCAGCCAUGCCGCGUGAAUGAUGAAGGUCUUAGGAUUGUAAAAUUCUUUCACCGGGGACGAUAAUGACGGUACCCGGAGAAGAAGCCCCGGCUAACUUCGUG